GAUGAACGCUGGCGGCGUGCCUAAUACAUGCAAGUAGAACGCUGAAGGAAGGAGCUUGCUCUUUCCGGAUGAGUUGCGAACGGGUGAGUAACGCGUAGGUAACCUGCCUGGUAGCGGGGGAUAACUAUUGGAAACGAUAGCUAAUACCGCAUAACAGUAGAUGUUGCAUGAUAUCUACUUAAAAGGUGCAAUUGCACCACUACCAGAUGGACCUGCGUUGUAUUAGCUAGUUGGUGAGGUAACGGCUCACCAAGGCGACGAUACAUAGCCGACCUGAGAGGGUGAUCGGCCAAACUGGGACUGGGACACGGCCCAGACUCCUACGGGAGGCAGCAGUAGGGAAUCUUCGGCAAUGGACGGAAGUCUGACCGAGCAACGCCGCGUGAGUGAAGAAGGUUUUCGGAUCGUAAAGCUCUGUUGUAAGAGAAGAACGAGUGUGAGAGUGGAAAGUUCACACUGUGACGGUAUCUUACCAGAAAGGGACGGCUAACUACGUG
rnacentral:rRNA from 1 species